AUGCUGACGUCCAUGGAGUGGCAGGUGAUGUGCUGGUGCGUGAAGUACGAGAAGCUGACCCUAGAGGUGUGCAAGGACCCGUUGUGGCAGCGGCCGCCCAAGCUUCAAACUCCUUGUUCAUUGUGGAAGGCACACCCCAUGCUGAUGUUGCCCAGCGAGCGGGGAUCGAUGUGCUGGUGCCUGAACUACGAGAAGCUGACCCUGAAGGCGUGCAAGGACCUCUUGUCGCAGCGGCCUCCCAAGCUCCAGACCCCUUGUUGGUCGUCGAGAACGAUGACGAUGCUGAGGCGGGUCACGGUGGUGCGAGGAGGAGGCGUUGAGGUUGGGGCUGGGGCUGGGGCUGAACCUGCGGAGGUUGCAGAGCCGGGUAGGCGAGGUGGAGAGGGCGGCGUGCGAGGAGGCGAGGGGCCAGAGUAUGUGGUGGUAGGAGGUUAG
rnacentral:rRNA from 1 species